rnacentral:rRNA from 1 species
CAGCCUCCUACGGGAGGCAGCAGCGGGGAAUAUUGGGCAAUGGGCGCAAACCUGACCCAGCAACGCCGCGUGAAGGAAGAAGACUUUCGGGUUGUAAACUUCUUUUGUCAGGGACGAGCAAAUGACGGUACCUGACGAAUAAGCCACGGCUAACUAACGUGCCAGCAGCCGCGGUAAUACGUAGGUGGCAAGCGUUAUCCGGAUUUACUGGGUGUAAAGGGCGUGUAGGCGGGACUCCACCUCAGAUGUGAAAACCACGGGCUCAACCUGUGGCCUGCAUUUGAAACUGUAGUUCUUGAGUACUGGAGAGGCAGACGGAAUUCCUAGUGUAGCGGUGAAAUGCGUAGAUAUUAGGAGGAACACCAGUGGCGAAGGCGGUCUGCUGGACAGCAACUGACGCUGAGGCGCGAAAGCGUGGGGAGCAAACAGGAUUAGAUACCCUGGUAGUCCACGCUGUAAACGAUGGAUACUAGGUGUGGGGGGGUCUGACCCCCUCCGUGCCGCAGUUAACACAAUAAGUAUCCCCCCUGGGGAGUACGAUCGCAAGGUUGUAACUCAAAGGAAUUGACGGGGGCCCGCACAAGCGGUGGAGUAUGUGGUUUAAUUCGAAGCAACGCGAAGAACCUUACCAGGGCUUGACAUCCCGGUGACCGCUCUAGAGAUAGAGUUUUCCUUCGGGACACCGGUGACAGGUGGUGCAUGGUUGUCGUCAGCUCGUGUCGUGAGAUGUUGGGUUAAGUCCCGCAACGAGCGCAACCCCUAUUGUUAGUUGCUACGCAAGAGCACUCUAGCGAGACUGCCGUUGACAAAACGGAGGAAGGUGGGGACGACGUCAAAUCAUCAUGCCCCUUAUGUCCUGGGCUACACACGUACUACAAUGGUGGUCAACAGAGGGAGGCAAAACCGCGAGGUGGAGCAAACCCCUAAAAGCCAUCCCAGUUCGGAUCGCAGGCUGCAACCCGCCUGCGUGAAGUUGGAAUCGCUAGUAAUCGCGGAUCAGCAUGCCGCGGUGAAUACGAUCCCGGGCCUUGCACACACCGCCCGUCA